rnacentral:rRNA from 1 species
GACGCUGGCGGCGGCUUAACACAUGCAAGUCGAGCGGUAACAGGGGGUGCUUGCACCCCGCUGACGAGCGGCGGACGGGUGAGUAAUGCAUAGGAAACUGCCCAGUAGUGGGGGAUAGCCCGGGGAAACCCGGAUUAAUACCGCGUACGCCCUUCGGGGGAAAGCAGGGGAUCUUCGGACCUUGCGCUAUUGGAUGUGCCUAUGUCGGAUUAGCUAGUUGGUGGGGUAAAGGCCUACCAAGGCGACGAUCCGUAGCUGGUCUGAGAGGAUGAUCAGCCACAUCGGGACUGAGACACGGCCCGAACUCCUACGGGAGGCAGCAGUGGGGAAUAUUGGACAAUGGGGGCAACCCUGAUCCAGCCAUGCCGCGUGUGUGAAGAAGGCUUUCGGGUUGUAAAGCACUUUCAGUGAGGAGGAAAACUCUGCGACUAAUACUCGUAGGGCUUGACGUUACUCACAGAAGAAGCACCGGCUAACUCCGUGCCAGCAGCCGCGGUAAUACGGAGGGUGCAAGCGUUAAUCCGGAAUUACUGGGCGUAAAGCGCGCGUAGGUGGUUUGAUAAGCG